GAUGAAGAACGCAGCGAAAUGCGAUAAGUAAUGUGAAUUGCAGAAUUCAGUGAAUCAUCGAAUCUUUGAACGCACCUUGCACUCUCUGGUCUUCCUGAGAGUACACCCGUUUGAGUAUCAUUGUACCCUCACAUCUCUACUUUAUUGUUUGAGAAUGUGAUUAUGGAUGUUGCUGUGUAUAUCAUAGCUCGUCUGAAAUACAUGAGUACAACGCCGUGGCUGGUAAGAGGUACUUGGUGUAAUAACCUAUCUCACCAUUACUUUCUCUUAUUUGUCCUGUCUCGGUUAUGUUUGUGCUGUCGAACCGUCUUUCACAGACAAUCUUUAUGACAAUUUGAUCUCAAAUCGGGUGGGAUUACCCGCUGAACUUAAGCAUAUCAAUAAGCGGAGGA
rnacentral:misc_RNA from 1 species